CACCAUCAGUGCGUUUUACUGAGGUAAAUUACUUUAUUACUUAACCAAUUUAGUUAAAUUACUUUGUAUAAGGCCGACAAUAAAAGUAAAUGAUAUUUAAAACUAUUCAGAAAAAAAGUAAUAAAAUGUAAUUAUAAUAAGUUAUUAUAAUAAACAGUCUGAGGGAAUAGUUCGUUUUUCUGAGGGAAACCUUCACUAAAAUAAAUAGCGGCCGUUUUCAUUCAUGAAACCCAUUAAAUUGUAAUAAAAAAGGGACUGUCUUUUUGGGAAAAUGUGUAGUAUAUUUACCGAAAAAGACACACAGACAACGACUUUCGCCGUUAAAUGCCGUUACAGCAAGGUGACGUCACCGCUUAUGGAGCCAAUCCGCUCCGUUUGAGAGACGCUCUUUCGUUUCAGUUAUCUACUGUUAACGUUACUUAAAAAGAGUAUAAGAGUAUUUUUUUUAACCAAUUAUUCUUAAUAAUGUCUUCGUUAUUCAUAUUUGUAUGGAAAGUAGUGCGUUGUCACAGGUUUGACAGCGAGCGCGUGAGCUCCGUCUCUCUCUCUCUCUCUCUCUCACAAGCUGGCGCGUGCACCUAAAGAGGGAAGAGACAUAAGAGACUCAUAAGCCUUUACACCUGUGUGAAAUCUUUUAUUCCUCAUUUUGUAACAACAAAAAAUAUAAUAGAACAUAUUAUUAUUAAUAAUGAUAAUAAUGUUAUUCUCAAAAAUGAAAAAGCAUUUUAAUGUGGCUUAUUUGUAGUGGGCUGUAAGGUCUCAUCAAAUACAUUGCUCUGUAUUCUGCUCAUUUUGAUAUUAUCAGAUUUUACACAAUUCAUCAGAGCCUUUAAAAACGUUGGGAAUUUAUACAAUGAAAAUAAUUAUUCUCUUCUCUCUUUUUUUUCAGUGUUGAUUGCCCUCUGAUUGUUGUAAGUGAAAAUAGUAGAAGCCAACCUACAUCUCUGAUUUGCCAGUUUCAUCAUAACAUACUAAUUCCUCAAUAAUCACCGAAAACAUUUUUAUUUUUAAAGACAUAAGACUCAUAUUCAGUCCUCUUUCUUUUCUUUUUCUUUCUUUCGCUUGUGUCUUCAGCAGCUACAUAGACCCAAAGGCUCUUUUAAGAGCCACAUCACGAGAGCGUCUUUGGCUUUGUAAGUAUACAUUUUGACUGACUGUCAAAUAACUCAGUAUUUGAGCUUAGAUCAAUUAAAGCAACAUCAUGCAGCAUGUUAGUAAUAUCUUAAGACAUUAAGGGGGUUGGUUCUUAUUAAUAUAUUUAUUUAUUUUUAAGUAAAUGAGCAUAUAAAUAAAUAAACUAGCAUCCAGCAUCUCUGAUUUGCCAGUUUCAUCAUAACAUACUAAUUCCUCAAUAAUCACCGAUGAAACUGAAAACAUUUUAAUUUGUACAGACAUAAGACUCAUAUUCAGUCCUCUUUCUUUUUUCUUUCGCUUGUGUCUUCAGCAGCUACAUAGACCCAAAGGCUCUUUUAAGAGCCACAUUACGAGAGCGUCUUUGGCUUUGUAAGUAUACAUUUUGACUGACUGUCAAAUAACUCAGUAUUUGAGCUUAGAUCAAUUAAAGCAACAUCAUGCAGCAUGUUAGUAAUAUCUUAAGACAUUAAGGGGGUUGGUUCUUAUUAAUAUAUUUAUUUAUUUUUAAGUAAAUGAGCAUAUAAAUAAAUAAACUAGCAUCCAGCAUCUCUGAUUUGCCAGUUUCAUCAUAACAUACUAAUUUCUCAAUAAUCACCAAUGAAACUGAAAACAUUUUCAUUUGUACAGACAUAAGACUCAUAUUCAGUCCUCUUUCUUUUCUUUUUCUUUCGCUUGUGUCUUCAGCAGCUACAUAGACCCAAAGGCUCUUUUAAGAGCCACAUCACGAGAGCGUCUUUGGCUUUCCCCCAUCUCAGCCUCUGCAGUCUGAUCUUUUCAUAGACAUUAUCAAACUGCCUGACUGAGACAUUACACAAUGAGUGAGGAAAAGAGAGAGAAAGAAAGGCAAUAUCUGAGAUCUUGGAGAGCUGCCAAACGUGUUUUUAAAAAAAUAGAAAAACA